GAUGAACGCUGGCGGCGUGCCUAAUACAUGCAAGUCGAGCGAACGGACGAGAAGCUUGCUUCUCUGAUGUUAGCGGCGGACGGGUGAGUAACACGUGGAUAACCUACCUAUAAGACUGGGAUAACUUCGGGAAACCGGAGCUAAUACCGGAUAAUAUUUUGAACCGCAUGGUUCAAAAGUGAAAGACGGUCUUGCUGUCACUUAUAGAUGGAUCCGCGCUGCAUUAGCUAGUUGGUAAGGUAACGGCUUACCAAGGCAACGAUGCAUAGCCGACCUGAGAGGGUGAUCGGCCACACUGGAACUGAGACACGGUCCAGACUCCUACGGGAGGCAGCAGUAGGGAAUCUUCCGCAAUGGGCGAAAGCCUGACGGAGCAACGCCGCGUGAGUGAUGAAGGUCUUCGGAUCGUAAAACUCUGUUAUUAGGGAAGAACAUAUGUGUAAGUAACUGCGCACAUCUUGACGGUACCUAAUCAGAAAGCCACGGCUAACUACGUGCCAGCAGCCGCGGUAAUACGUAGGUGGCAAGCGUUAUCCGGAAUUAUUGGGCGUAAAGCGCGCGUAGGCGGUUUUUUAAGUCUGAUGUGAAAGCCCACGGCUCAACCGUGGAGGGUCAUUGGAAACUGGAAAACUUGAGUGCAGAAGAGGAAAGUGGAAUUCCAUGUGUAGCGGUGAAAUGCGCAGAGAUAUGGAGGAACACCAGUGGCGAAGGCGACUUUCUGGUCUGUAACUGACGCUGAUGUGCGAAAGCGUGGGGAUCAAACAGGAUUAGAUACCCUGGUAGUCCACGCCGUAAACGAUGAGUGCUAAGUGUUAGGGGGUUUCCGCCCCUUAGUGCUGCAGCUAACGCAUUAAGCACUCCGCCUGGGGAGUACGACCGCAAGGUUGAAACUCAAAGGAAUUGACGGGGACCCGCACAAGCGGUGGAGCAUGUGGUUUAAUUCGAAGCAACGCGAAGAACCUUACCAAAUCUUGACAUCCUUUGACAACUCUAGAGAUAGAGCUUUCCCCUUCGGGGGACAAAGUGACAGGUGGUGCAUGGUUGUCGUCAGCUCGUGUCGUGAGAUGUUGGGUUAAGUCCCGCAACGAGCGCAACCCUUAAGCUUAGUUGCCAUCAUUAAGUUGGGCACUCUAAGUUGACUGCCGGUGACAAACCGGAGGAAGGUGGGGAUGACGUCAAAUCAUCAUGCCCCUUAUGAUUUGGGCUACACACGUGCUACAAUGGACAAUACAAAGGGCAGCGAAACCGCGAGGUCAAGCAAAUCCCAUAAAGUUGUUCUCAGUUCGGAUUGUAGUCUGCAACUCGACUACAUGAAGCUGGAAUCGCUAGUAAUCGUAGAUCAGCAUGCUACGGUGAAUACGUUCCCGGGUCU
rnacentral:rRNA from 1 species